CCUACGGGCGGCAGCAGUGAGGAAUAUUGGUCAAUGGGCGCUAGCCUGAACCAGCCAAGUCGCGUGAAGGAUGACUGCCCUAUGGGUUGUAAACUUCUUUUAUAUGGGAAUAAAGUGCAGUAUGUAUACUGCUUUGCAUGUACCCUGUGAAUAAGCAUCGGCUAACUCCGUGCCAGCAGCCGCGGUAAUACGGAGGAUGCGAGCGUUAUCCGGAUUUAUUGGGUUUAAAGGGUGCGUAGGCGGGUUGUUAAGUCAGUUGUGAAAGUGUGCGGCUCAACCGUAAAAUUGCAGUUGAACCUGGCAUCCUUGAGUGCAGUGGAGGUAGGCGGAAUGCGUGGUGUAGCGGUGAAAUGCAUAGAUAUCACGAAGAACCCCGAUUGCGAAGGCAGCCUGCUGGACUGUAACUGACGCUGAGGCACGAAAGUGUGGGGAUCGAACAGGAUUAGAUACCCCUGUAGUC
rnacentral:rRNA from 1 species